AGGGUUUGAUUCUGGCUCAGGAUGAACGCUGGCGGCAUGCCUAAGACAUGCAAGUCGAACGAGGUGGUCCGAGGAAAGUGGAGUGCUUGCACAAAGCUGGAAUCGGUUCGCCACCUAGUGGCAGACGGGUGAGUAACACGUGGGUAACCUACCUUUUAGUUGGGGAUAACAGUUGGAAACGAUUGCUAAUACCGAAUAAUAUAUAUGGAUACUUUCUAUAUAUUGAAAGGAGCCUUUAAAGCUCCGCUUUAAGAUGGGCCUGCGGCGUAUUAGCUAGUUGGUGGGAUAAUGGCCUACCAAGGCAACGAUGCGUAGCCGGACUGAGAGGUUGAACGGCCACAUUGGGACUGAGACACGGCCCAA
rnacentral:rRNA from 1 species